GUUCAGUUGCCGGUGCUUUCAAAAAGGAGAUUCUUAUUGAGUACAGAGGGGAAGUCAUAAGUAGAAAGGAACAAGAAAACCGAUUGAAAAUUUACCAUGAUGCACUCGAGGCUUUUAUGUUUGAUUUCAAGUUCAAUGGACAACAGCUUUGUGUUGAUGCUGCCAGAGAGGAUGGAUCAUUGGGGAGGCUGGUAAAUGAUGAAGAGAUGAACCCAAACAGCAAAAUGAAAGUUACAAGGGUGGAUGGAAGACCUCAUCUCUGUUUAUUUGCACUCAAAGAUAUUGGUCCAGGGGAAGAAAUCACUUAUAAUUAUGGUGAUUCUGACUGGCCAUGGAGAAGAAAUGUACUGAUAAGAGUGAAAAUUCUAUCACAAGUCAUUUUACUAGCAUUGAAGACAUUUUUGAAGGAUAUGUCAUGUUGUAGUACAGAGUUUCAUUAUAGUUGAAAACAAGAAGUGAUUAGCAGUGCCUAAAAAAAAACAGAUUUUGGAGAAAGACUUAAUCAGACCACUAUUUCAACUUGGUUCAGUGCUAUCCAAAAUGCUAGAAACUGUCAUAUGUAAAUUAAUUUAUUCUAACCUUAUAUUUAUGAACAUUUUAUAGCAGGAGAUAUAUUUUGCAGUGUCAAUACACAAAGGUUCUGGUUAACAAUCAGCUGGACAGGUUCAUUCAGUAGUAGGUUUAGAAGUACGGACUCAUUCAGUGUACAUCCCUUCAUUUCAGAUUUCCAAAGAUGAAUUGUGUCAGGCUGUUGACGUGGAUGCAUGCGGAUCCUGUUCAACCAACCCUCCAGAGAUUUCCAAAGAUGAAAUGUGUCAGGCUGGUGACAUGGAUGCAUGCGGAUCCUGUUCAACCAACCCUCCAGAGAUUUCCAUAGAAGAACCGUGUCAGGCUGGUGAGGUGGAUGCAUGCAGAACCUGUUCAACCAACCCUGCAGAGCACAAAGUAAACACAGAGAUGGUAAGGGGAAAGAACUCAACAGAAAACUAAAACGGAAGGACAUAGAGCCCCGCAGAAAAAUGAACACAAAUAAAAAUUCUGCAUCUCUGGAAAGUGCUAGGAGAGCAAAAAAGCAUCCAUGGUCUCCCGUAGAGGU